UAGGCAAAUGCGGUAUACUUCGGGUAUAUUGAGGAAAGUCCAAGCUCACACAAUCUGAGAUGAUUGUAAUGAUCGUGCUAGGGGAAAAAAUAACCCUAGGCAGUUUUUACUGACGGCUUCGAAAUGGUCCCUAAGGGAUUAGAGUAGAUAUAAAAGUGCCAAAGAGACGAGUCUAGAAAGUAAUUUCUAGGGUGGAACGUGGUAAACCCCGCGAGUGAGAAACCCAAAUUUGGUAGGGGAGUCCUUACUAGGAAAUGAACGAGGUAAGGGACCUAGUAAUAGGUAGAUAAAUAUUUGCCACUCCGUAAGGAGUACAGAACGUGGCUUAUU
rnacentral:RNase_P_RNA from 1 species